rnacentral:rRNA from 1 species
GAUGAACGCUGGCGGCGUGCUUAACACAUGCAAGUCGAACGAAGCACUUUACCACGAUUCCUUCGGGAUGACGGUUUAGUGACUGAGUGGCGGACGGGUGAGUAACGCGUGGGGAACCUGCCCCAUACCGGGGGAUAACAGCCGGAAACGGCUGCUAAUACCGCAUAAGCGCACAGUACCGCAUGGUACGGUGUGAAAAACUCCGGUGGUAUGGGAUGGACCCGCGUCUGAUUAGCCAGUUGGCGGGGUAACGGCCCACCAAAGCGACGAUCAGUAGCCGGCCUGAGAGGGCGACCGGCCACAUUGGGACUGAGACACGGCCCAGACUCCUACGGGAGGCAGCAGUGGGGAAUAUUGCACAAUGGGGGAAACCCUGAUGCAGCGACGCCGCGUGAGUGAGGAAGUAUUUCGGUAUGUAAAGCUCUAUCAGCAGGGAAGAAGAAAUGACGGUACCUGACUAAGAAGCCCCGGCUAACUACGUGCCAGCCGCCGCCGUAACAC